rnacentral:rRNA from 1 species
AUUGAACGCUGGCGGCAUGCUUUACACAUGCAAGUCGAACGGCAGCACGGGCUUCGGCCUGGUGGCGAGUGGCGAACGGGUGAGUAAUACAUCGGAACGUACCCAGUAGUGGGGGAUAGCCCGGCGAAAGCCGGAUUAAUACCGCAUAUGCCCUGAGGGGGAAAGCGGGGGACCGAAAGGCCUCGCGCUAUUGGAGCGGCCGAUGGCUGAUUAGCUAGUUGGUGGGGUAAAGGCCUACCAAGGCGACGAUCAGUAGCUGGUCUGAGAGGACGACCAGCCACCCGGGGACUGAGACACGGCCCAGACUCCUACGGGAGGCAGCAGUGGGGAAUUUUGGACAAUGGGCGAAAGCCUGAUCCAGCAAUGCCGCGUGUGCGAAGAAGGCCUUCGGGUUGUAAAGCACUUUUGUUUGGAAAGAAAAGGUUUGGGUUAAUACCCUGGACUGAUGACGGUACCGAUCGAAUAAGCACCGGCUAACUACGUGCCAGCCGCCGCCGUAA